AAAACUGAUAUGUGUUAUGUUGAGGAAGAGGUUUUGUCUUUGUUUCAACAGGAAAGCUGUGGAUACCAUUAAGAUUUAUAAAGAUCAGAUGUGAUAUAUAUCUCACAUAUUUAAAUAUAUAUACAUUUUAUAUAUAUAUAUAUAUAUAUAUAAUCUUCUACAGGGUUACUGGAAAAGCAGGUAAUUUCCAACGAGGACAGGAACAAAGAGCAGUUGUUGAGACUGCCAGUAAGCUCAUUUCCCAGCAUGCAACCCUAACCAAUAUUGAUCUAGAUGAUGCUCAAAAUAUGCAUAUCAUAUUUAUUGGUGAACUGGCAGCUGGGGACUUCAUGAAGCAAAAAGGAGUCCACCAACAUUUGCCCAUUGGCUACAAUUGGAAAUGUUUUCCUUAUAUGGAGAUUAAACAUUCUCUCUCUGAGAAACAGAUCCGGACGUUUUUAUGAGGCAUGGAGAAUGUGAUACUCAGUCAUUGCCGGCCACCAUAUAUGGUCCUGAGGAUCGCCCUCACAACGAAGGACUGGAUCCAUUCGGGAGCAGAGUCCUUCACAGGCUGAGCUAUGGAAGGAAAGGAGAAUAAAAGCAUCCAACUAAGGGACCCGGAGACCACCGGACAAGUGAAAAAUCUGAAGAGAAAGGACCGGUCAUCGAGAGAAAAAGAGUAAGUUGGUAAGCGAUGUGGCCCACCUUCAGCAUCUCUGCUGUCCCCAUAGACAUAAGUGACAAAUGACCUGCAUGUGGUCAUUUAAAUUAAAUUAAAAAUUAAAGCUAGCUUUUGGGAUUGGAGCGUGUCUCUCCCCUUCUCUAGAACCACACAUGCUUGUUGAAAUAAAGUAUAAAAUCUGUCUCGUAUCACAAGAGCCACCGGGUCUGGGACAGAGGAAAACAAAAUAUAAGGGACUAUUCUAUUGUCAGUAAUCAUGUUUGGCUCUCUAAAACUUUUCAUAUAUAUACUCUGUGGUAAUCCUGGUAGCUAUACAGAGUACUAACUAAUUCUACAAACAAGCCUCACCUAGCUUCCUAUACGUGCUUUUGACAAGGGCCGGCCUCAGCCAGGAGAGGGGGUCCUGAGGAAGGGGCAUUUGGGAGCUGGGAAACACUGACUCAGACAGUCGUGGGUACAAGCUGACUGCUCUGUAGUCUGCUCGAGACGGCUCCCUAGGCAGUUCUCUGCUCAAGACAGCUCUCCUCGCACUACAAAAAUAAAAAAUAAAAUAAAAAAGUAAAAAAAAAAAAAAUCUAAAAGGUCUCUGAAUAGCUCAUGGGUUUCCGACCAAAUUCAGAAAAGCUGCUAGGAAAAAUUCUUGGAUUUUUCUGAAUAAGGUCAGAAACCCUGUUAGAAAAAUUCUAAAAGGGUAUGGUUUUCUCUCCAAGGAGUUCUCUCUGGGUAGCUCAGCUCUUGCGGACCAAAGUCCUGUCUUUUAUGUGCAUAUCAAUCCAAUCAUCCACCCCAGGUCCCCUGAUUCAUACCAGGAAUCAACAUUUCAGGACUUUACCCCCUGAUUCUUAGAAGAAAAAUGCCAACAAUUACAUAUUUUUUAACAUGGCAGAUGAAUUCAGAGAUCUGCCUGCCUUAGUAAGGCACAGACAAUAAGCCAGCUGGGUGCGGAUCUUGCCCUGAGGUUGCCAUUCCUACGACGACGCCUGGGCCUGUACCUAAUCUCCCUUCCUCCCUGGCUGACCUUGAACUCAGGAAUCUGCCUGAAUUUGUAAAUAAAAGCUCAGCUGGGUGGGAUCUUGCUGGGCAAUCACCAGUCCCUAAAUCUCUGUCUCCUUCCUUAAUAUCUUUCUGACAAGCUGGCUCAGAGUGAAACGCCCUCUGUACCUUUCAGGUCUCUGAACCCCCUCAUGUGAUUCAUAUCGCAUCCUGCAUUUUUGCAUAGCUGAGAAAUCCUGUUUGACAUAACCUCUGAACUCCUGUUUUCAGAGUUCUUUCCCACAGGGCUGUCCUGAAGCAUUUACCGUUUUGCUGAGGUUGUUAUUAGACACACCUUCGACUCCCAGACUCAUGCUGCUUCCGAUUAUCCUGGAGUCGCUGACCUUGGCGGGGAGAAUAUUCCCCGAAGGAAGAAAUAAUAAUUAUGUGCAUUAUUAUAUAAGUAAACCUUAUGCCUACCAGUGGCCGCCUCCGGUGAAGGCCCGAGUACUGCUAGCUCUCCUCCGGGGGACGGGAACUGUGCCACCGCCAUCCCUUCCACGGGGCUACGAAGGACUCCGCAUUGUUUACGGGUCUGACGCUGAAGCAGGUACCUCGGAAACAAGUUUGUGCACCUCGGAUGUACUUAAUACAUUGUGAGCCGGCCGAGUUACCAGAUAACCCGUCUGUUCCGCCCGUGGAAGUGGGUGGAGGUCUGCGUACCAAUUGUUCUCGGACUUGGAUUGACGAAAUUCCCUCUGGUUCUGGUUCUGGAGCACUGGGAUGAGGUCCGGGGACGCACACGCACAACUUGUCAGUAGGCAUAAAGAAAAAGUCCAGACCCUGUGCACAUCUGAAUGGCUGACUUUUGGGGUCAAUUGGCCAGGAAGGGGCAUUCGAUCUUCCCAUACCUGUGGCAAUCAAAUGUAAGACCCGUGGACUUGGAUCCCGAUCUGACAAUCGCCGGACUGCCGGACCAGGUCCACUGUAUAGUUGUCUGGAAAGAGCUUAUAACUGCCCCCCCCCCCCCCCGUUUGGGUUCCUCCUUUUCUCCCUAGCAGGGUUCUGACCUUCAAAGACUCAGUCUGAGCUGCUGGCUAGCUUGGGGAAGAAGACUGCAGGAAUCGGGAACUGCAGAUCUCCUCCUCCCUUGUUAUCCCCCCAGCUCUUGCCCUGAGUGCACCACCGGGGCCCCAGCCCCUGCGCCCCUUUACCCACUCUUCCCGGAGGACUACACGGGUCCUGCCAUGGAGACUCGGAUCUGUAGAGCUGUAUCCCCUGACACCACUAUGGCCCUCCCCCUGCGGGCCUUUGGGCCUGCAGAUGCAACAGGGAAUGAGGCCAUGCAAUGCUGUCCCCUUUCCACCUCUGAUCUCUAACUGGAAAGCUCAGCAUCCACUCUCCUCCGAUAAACCCCAAGGGCCUCACUAAUCUCAUAAGUUCACCCUUCCACUCUUUUCACACACCAGCCUACUUGGGAUGACUGUUAGCAGAGCUCUUGCAGGUCCUCUGCACUGAAAAGAAGGAAUGAAUUCUCCCGGGGGCCAGAAAAAACAUCCCAGGAAAUAAUGGGGUCCCGACCCUGAACACUGCUGACAUGGUCAAGGGAUUCCCCCCUCAGGAGGCCAGACUGGGACUACAAUGCAGCUGCAGGUAAGGAGCACCCAAAGGUCUACCUGCAGGCUCUGUUGGCAGGUCUCAAGGGUGCAGCAAAAUGACCCAUUAAUCGGACUAAUAUAUGAGAGGUGCAGCAGGGCCCCGAUGAGGUGCCUUCAAGCCUACCUAGAACGACUUAUGCAGGCUUUCUGCCAAUAUCCACUCUAUGAUCCUGGUGCUGAGGGACAUAGGGCUACACCGACUAUGGCAUUUCUAGAUCAGGCUGUAAGGGACAUAAAGAGGAAGCUCCAGAAGGUAGUCAGCUUACAAGUUAAGUCUUUGAGGGAACUAGGAAAGGUGGCUGAGAACGUUUACCACAAUAGGGAAACAGAAGAAGAAAAGGAAGAGAGGAAGCAGAAAGAGGCAGAGGAAAGGGGAGCUGUGAAGAGAAAAGGCCAGGAUAGAAAGUUAGAAAAAGGGGUUGGGGAUUUAGCUCAGCGGUAGAGCGCUUGCCUAGCAAGCACAAGGCCCUGGGUUCGGUCCCCAGCUCCAAAGAAAAAAAAAUAAAGUUAGAAAAAAUAAAAUCAUGACAGUGGUGGUUAGGGAAAACAGGAGGGGACCCAAGCCUCUGCCACAAGUAAGGAGACAGAGAGCUCCACUUGAGAAAGACCAGUGCGCCAGUUGCAAAGAACGUGGCCACUGGACUAGAAAUUGUCCCAACAAGAAAAAGCAGGGAAAGGGGGCAAGAAGGAAGGAAGAUGGCUCACAGGCCCAAAGAGUCUUAACUCUGGGAGAAGAGAGUGACUAGGGGGGACAGGGUUCAGAGCCCUUACCCGAACCCAGGGUAACUCUGAAAGUGGAGGGGAAACCCACCCAGUUUCUGGUGGACACAGGCACAACACUCUGUCCUCCUCCAAACAGAGGGAUCCCUUUCCAAGGAAAAAGUCUUGGGUCCAAGGGGCCACAGUAACUAAAAAAUGGACUACCCGGAGAUCUGUUGAUCUGGGAGUGGGAUAAGUAUCCCGCUCCUUCAUGGUCAUACCUGAGUGUCCUUACACUCUCCUUGACUGAAACUUACUUACCAAAAUGGGAGCUGAGAUCCAAUGCCUUCCAAAUGGUCAUACCAUUACAGGCCCCAAGGGGGAACCAACACAGGUUCUGACCAUGAGAUUGGAAGAUGAAAACAAACUGUUUGAGAAUAUCAAAAGUACCCCCAGGCCUGGGCUGAAACAGCAGGCAUGGGGAAGGCUACCAACCAGCUCCCCCAUCCAUGUAGAGCUGGAGGCCGCAACUAUCCCAUUAUCUGUGCACCAGUAACCCACAUCAUAAGAGGCUCAGGAGGGGAUCCGGCCUCACAUUAACAGGCUCCUGGACUUGGGGAUCCUGAGGAGAUGGCGGCAUGGAACACACCUCUCCUGCCCAUCAAGACACUUAGCACCCAGGACUAUCACCUGGUACAGGGCCUGUGUGAGGUAAACUGGAGUACAGCCGACAUACACCCCAUAGUACUUAAUGCUUACACCCUCCUGAGCACAUUACCACCUACCAGGAUCUGGUACACACUUUUGGACCUCGAUGAUGCCUUCUUCUAUCUCGCCUUGGCUUCCCAAAGUACUUUGCUUUUGAACAGAAAGAUCCUGAGAGGGGGAUCACGGGACAGCUCGCCUGGACCAGGCUGCCCCAGGGAUUCAGGAACUCACCAAGGACCCCUUCAACAAGGUCCUAUCGCCAUCUGUCAUGACUCUAACCCGCAGGUGACCCUUCUGCAAUAUGUAGAGGACAUUCUACCUGCAGCAGAGGCUAAGGAAGGCUGCCUCAGGGGCACUGAGCAGCUGCUAAUAGAACUGAGUGAAUUGGAUUAUCGAACCUCCACCAAGACAUCCCAAAUCUGUCAAUGAGAGACUUUGUUCCUGAACUCAGAUCAAGUCACUUUCACACCUCCGGUGACUCUGGACCUGGCCACUCUACUACCUGACCCUGAUCCCUGAGGUACCUGCCCAUGACCAACCACUGCCUGAUGCCGAGGUUACCUGGUUCACCGACGGCAGCAGCUAUCUCUUAGACGGGUAGCGCAAGGCUAUAGAAGCCAUGGUAGAUGGGCAGCACGUGCUCUGGGCAGAACCACUGGCCCCGGAACAUCAGGCCAGAAAGCAAAACUGAUUGCACUCAUCAAGGCCUUUUGAUUUGGGAGCUGGCAAGAAGAUCAUCAUCUACACCAAUAGCAGGUAGGCUUUUGCCACUACAUGGGGCAUAUGGGGUAAUAUACCAGCAGAGGUGUCUCCUGGCAUCCAGCGGCAGGGAGAUUAAGAACAAAGCUGAGAUCAAGGCACUCUUGGGAGCUCUCCUCAAACCACUAAAGGUGAGUAUCAUCCAUUGCCCAGGCCACCAGAAAGGAGAGACUGUCAUAGCUAGGGGAAUCAACUUUGUGGAUAAAAUGUCGAAAGAGGUUGCUACUAAAGUCCCGGCCACUGUCAUGGUCCAACUAAUAGAGACAAAGAAAAGGGGGGCGGUGGAUGAAUGGACUAAGGGUUGACCCCUUCUAUGGUACACCCCAGAAGAAGUAGUCCAAAUCUCUGGUUACCCCACCAACUAUUACCUUAAAAGAGAUGGACAAUGGAAGACACAAGAAGGAAAAGUUAUUUUACCUGGGGUCCGAGCAAGAGAACUGUUUACCCAGAUGCGCCAAUGGACUCAUCUGGGCACCGAGAAACUAGUGCAAACAGUCAAGGGUUCUCGAGUAUUCGUCAUGGACGUGAGGUACCUGGCAGAGGAAGUAGUGGGAAGAUGCCAGGUUUGUCAACAAGUAAAUGCCAGCCACACCAAGGCAGGGAAAGGAAAAAGGCUCAGGAGAAGUGGGCCAGGUGUCUUUUGGGAAGUGGAUUUUACCGAGGUCAAGCCUGGGAAGUAUGGUUACAAAUACUAGUUUUUGUAGAUACCUUUUCAGAGUGGGCAGAGGACUUCCCCACCAAACAGGAGACCACCACAAUGGUGGCAAAGAAGAUACCAGAAGAGAUUUUUUUCCCAGGUAAGCACAUAAGGUAAUUGGAUCAGGUAAUGGGCCUGCCUUCAUAUCUCAGGUAAGUCGGGUGCUUGCUAAGGUCUUGGGGACUAACUGGAAACUCCAUUGUGUAUAUCAUCCCCAGAGUCCAGGACAGGUAGAAAGGAUGAAUAGAACUCUAAAAGAGACCUUGACGAAAUUGACCUUAGAGACUGGCAGUGACUGGGUGGUGCUCCUUCCCUGGGCCCUGCUCUGAGCCCAGAACACCCCUUUGAGAUUCUCUAUUGGGGACCCAACCCACUGGUGGCUUCUGGACCUGACCUUGAGAUUACCAACUGAGGUGAUCAUGAACUUAUAAAGAGGCUGACAGCCCUUCAGACAGUUCAAAGGGAGAUCUGGUCCAAUCUGUCUGCUCUUUAUGCUCCAGGGACUACUGAAGUAACCCAUCAGUUUCAAGCCAGAGGCACUAUAUACAUCCACAGGCACUGGUCCCAGUCUGUAGAACCUCAGUGAAAGGGCCCCUACAUAGUCCUUCUAAUCAUGCCAACGGUUGUAACAGUGGGCAGAGUUGCAGCCUGGAUACAUACCUUUCAUGUAACGCCAGUUACCUGCCCACCCCCAGUUGACCAUCCCUCCUAGAACAGAGAUUGGAGCAUUUCCCACACAAAGAACCCUCUAAGGAUCAAGCUCAAUUGACAACCAAUGGAAAAUGGAACCCCUUCUCCUGCCGAGAAUCAUCCUGAUCCUAACCCUGCUCCCAGUCUUCUUUAAAAGAGACAUGUCCCAACCAACCAGCCAAGCUGACCCGGAGCGUGACUUCAGCCCUCAUGGGAGAUAAGGCUGUUGAGAAGAAUCCGACAGUGUUGCGUCUCCCUUGCUGGCUGAGGUGGACGUGACAACUGGUGGCCUGUACGGAGACCCGAGGACAUCCUUGUGGAUUCAGAACUCUUCAGUCUCAGGACGGCGACGUAGGUAAGGGACAAUAAAGCUCCCGGGUAAGGGACAAUAAAGUUCCCGGGUAAGGGACAAUAAAGUUCCCAGGUAGGGACA
rnacentral:sRNA from 1 species